AGUAUAAAUCAAAACUUUAGUGCAUUAAGAGCUUCAAAUUGGUUGUUCAUGGUGGUUAAUGUAUUGAUGACAAUGACAAUAAUGUAAAUAUUUGGUGAAGAUGAGGAUGAUAAGGUAAAAUACUCAUUUUCGAAAAAAAGAAAAAAAAAGUAUUUUCGUGAAUAACUCGAACUUAUAGUGUGAAUAGGAAAAAUGAAAGUUUCAAAAAAAAAAAAUGGGUUAUUUUUGUGUUUGACUUGAAAUUUUAGGUUAUAUUUGAAAAAAGCCCAAAAUAAAAUGUCAAAUUGUGAUGAUUAAUUUAAGAUAUUUUAACCGAUAAAUGAAUAAUAGGGAAAAAACUUUAAGCAAAUUUUGUAUUGGUAAAUAAAAAAUAUUUGUUUAUUAAUAUUCUAUUUUGUGUAUUGGAAAUCACUGGCUAUUUAUAAAUUGUGGUAAAACACUUAUAAAACUAUUGAUAUGUAUUUCUCAAAAUAAAUACUAUUGAUAUGUAUACAUUUCUUUAUACAGAACAAAUAUGUUGACAAAGUAAGUGACGUGAUUUGACAAAGUAAAUGACGUGAUUCAACUGGUUUUGUUUUUUUUCCUAGAACUAGCACGUCGGUAGAAUAAACCUUAAGUAAAAUAGACCCCCGUUAUUUUGUUUCCACUUCAACAUUUGUUUUAGUAAAGUUAUUAAUAUUACCUUAAAAACUCGACGACCGACAUGAGAAUACGCGUAACUUGUUUAGACGAUAGCGAUUAGUUUGCUUUCUGUGUUGUCCCCCAAAUAAGACAAAGAAUCUUGACUCUAAUUUUGUAGUAUAUCGUUGACACUCCUACAUUCUAUAAUAGAACCACUCAUAAACUAACACUACUGUAAUAUCGUAACAUAUGCUUUCAUAGUCAAUAAACCCCAAAAAAAUAAUCCAGUUAUUGGCAAAACCUUUACUCAAACUUUUAUCCACGAUUGUGCCAGAUGAUAAAGCAGUAGAACAUCAAAUUACAAUAUAUCAUGCAAAUACUUACCUUUGUUGUUGUUAAUUAUACCCUUUUUUUUUAACAAAAUUGCAGUGUUUUUAAAACCGGACCGGCUAGCGAACCAGAAUUUUUUUGGAUCAUAGAUCAUUGGGGUUCAACCGGAUUUGAUCGGGUUUACUUAGAUUAAACUAAAUUUAAUGAUAUUUUAUAAAUAAUAUGCAUAUUAGAAAAAUAUAUCAUAUCAAAUAAAAUGUUUAAACAGCGAUAAUGUGUAGAAAAAACAAAGAUAACAAUUAAAAUCUAAAAUCAAUAUGAAAAGCAAAUUUAAACUUUAUUCACAGAUCUUAUCACUCUAAAUCUUCAUCACCUUUAAAAAAAUUAUAUACACAUCAGGUAAAAUUUAUAUUUUGAAAUACAAAUUUCAGAAACGUAAAUAUUUAUUGACGUGAAUAUUAAACUUUGUGAAUCUUAUAAUUUAUGAGUUGUAGAGACGACAAAAGAAAAAGACGAGAGACGAUACUUUACUAAUCUUUGAUAAAUCUUAUUUUUACUUUAAAAAAAAAAGAAAAAUUAAUUGUUUCAUUAAAAAAAAAAUUGGCUUAUAUACGAACCAGAGUUUGGCCGGUUCAUUGGAUCGCCGGUUCCCGGGGUUUUGACGGUUCGAUAUGAGUUUUUAACUGGUUCAAUUUUAGUUGGGUUUUAACAUUAACCCAACCCUGAUUUUUUUCGGUUCAUGGUUCAACCCGGUCCGACCGCCGGUUCGGUCUGGGUUUAAAAACGCUGCAAAAUUGUUAAUUAUACUUAUAACUGAUAAAACCAUACAUAAACUAAUCACGUUAUUCCAAAGAUUAUUGAAUGUUUCUUUUGAUAUGGUCCCUCCCUAUCUCAAACAAAGACAAAUCUGUUACAGUAUAAGUAAUGCAUUAUGCAUAGCGGGUUUAAGACAUUCUUAGCUUUCUACACUCGCAAUGAAAAACUCAAUAGUGUUCUUGCUCUCUUCCUUCUUUCUUUUUCUUCUCCCAUUUGCAAGCUCGCUAAAUUUUAGCAUCCCUCGUUUUUCAGUAGGAGACUCUCGCAUAGCUUACCAAGGAGACGCAACACCAAAUGGCGAGAUCGUACUCAACAAUAUUGCAUUUACUUGUCGUGUUGGUUGGGCUACUUAUGCUAAAAGAGUUGCUAUUUGGGAUUCCGAAACAGGGGAGGCUUCCGACUUCACCACUAAUUUCUCCUUCAAGAUUGAUAUCAACACUGCAAAUUAUGGCCAUGGGCUCGCUUUUUUUCUUGGCCCUGCAGGCUUCACUGUCCCUCCAAAUUCAGAUAGUGGUUUCUUGGGCCUUUUCAAUGAAACCAACGGUCAUUCUUCUCGGUUCCCGCUUGUGCAUGUCGAGUUCGAUACGUUUUAUAACGUUGAAUGGGAUCCUUAUGGUAUCAAGUCUCAUGUCGGGAUCAAUAACAACUCGCUUGCUUCCUCUACUUUCACUUCCUGGAAUGCAACCCUUCACAGCCAAGAUACAUGUCAUGCACAAGUCUCGUAUGACGCUGCUCAGAAAAACUUGAGCGUCUCUUGGAGAUAUGAAGAAACAACUAUUCCUUCGGAGAGUUCAAGUAUUUACUACAUCACUGACCUUGUGAGGGUCAUUACUGCUGAAGUUACCAUGGGCUUUUCAGGUGCCACAGGAUCGGCGAUGGAAGGGCAUAGGAUCUUGUCAUGGGACUUUUAUUCCAGCUUGGACGUGAAAGAGAAGACAAAACCAAACCGUAGAAGUGUCAUUCUUGGUGCUUCUCUUUCGGGUUUUCUCCUCUUGGUCUCUUUGGUUGUUGUGGUUCCGUUGUGUUUGAAGAGGAAGCAAAGAAAGGCCAAAGCAGCAAGGAGGAGAGAAAACUUGACGUCGAUAAACGAAGAAGAUCUUGAAAGAGGAGCAGGGCCAAGAAGGUUCUCUUACAAAGAUCUUGCAAUGGCUACCAACAACUUCUUGUCUGAAAGAAAGUUAGGUCAAUGAGGUUUUGGAGCAGUGUAUAAAGGCUACUUAAACGACUUGGAUUUGAUGGUUGCCGUGAAGAAAUUUUCGGGUGCUUCAAAGCAAGGAAAGAAAGAGUUCAUCACCGAGGUUAAGAUCAUCAGCAGUUUAAGACAUCGAAACCUUGUUCAACUCAUUGGCUGGUGUCAUGAGAAAGAAGAGCUUUUACUAGUGUACGAGUUCAUGCCUAACGGUAGCCUCGACGCGCACAUAUUUGGUAAAAAAACAUAUCUCGCAUGGGCUGUUAGGUGCAAGAUAUCUCUCGGUGUAGCUUCCGCGUUGCUUUACCUUCACGAGGAAUGGGAGCAAUGCAUUGUCCACAGGGACAUCAAGGCGAGUAACAUAAUGUUGGACUCAAGUUUCAACGCCAAGCUAGGUGACUUCGGGUUGGCUCGGUUGAUGGACCACGAGGUAGGUCCCCAGACCACAGGACUAGCCGGGACAUUUGGUUACAUGGCUCCUGAAUACAUAAGCACAGGAAGGGCAAGCAAAGAAUCCGACGUGUAUAACUUUGGCAUUGUUUUAGUGGAGAUCGUUACAGGGAAGAAGUCGGUGAGCUUGAGGCAUGGAAAGAUUGAGCCAGAGUCAAGUCUUGUGGAGAAAGUAUGGGAUCUGUACGGUAGAGGAGAGCUGAUCUCAGCCGUUGAUCAACAGAUGGGGAAAGAUUACGAUGUGGAGCAAGCAGAGUGUCUUAUGAUUGUAGGGUUAUGGUGUGCUCAUCCUGAUAGUAACUCUAGACCUAGUAUAAAGCAAGCCAUCCAAGUCUUGAAUUUCGAGGCGCCCUUACCUAAUCUGCCACUAAAAAUGCCAGUUGCGACAUAUCAUGCGGCGGCAGAAACAUCGUCCUCAUCAAGCUCGAAUGGAGUAGCAACUGCAACGUUUUCUAGUGCUCAACUUGGUCGCUGAUCUGAACGUCAAAAGUUUUCUCUAUAAACACAGCCUUUAUGUAUUUUUUUUCUUUUGCUUCAUCUUUCAUGUGUUGUUUAAUGAUUCUCUGUGUGAGUGUGCAUGCAACUAAUCGUAAGUUUACGGUUAAAGUUGUAAUAUUGUUGUUUGCGUACGUCUCUCCUUGUCUCAAUAUAGUUGUUAUAAUCAUCUACAUCUUUGGUUUAUAAAUGCUUUCUGCUAAACAUGCUCCUGGGUUUCUGCCAAAACAUUUUAAAGACGCAUUCUUAUACAGUUUUCUUAUAGAUUCUCGUUUUUGACUGUGCUGCAGUAAUUUUGUUUCUUCCAUGUGAUUUCUGGUGUUGGAAGCUUAAAUUUUGCAGUUUUACUGGUAUUGUUAGUUUGGAUGAAUAAGUAUGGUCGUUCGUUUGGUUUCAUCAAUAAUUUGUUUUCCCACAUUGAUCCAUGUGAAGGUAUUUGUAUCAUACAAUACAAUGAGCAGGUUUAUUGGUAUCUCUCAAGAAGGGUUGUUAGCAUAAAUAAGAAUUAACAUAAAAGAAAAAAUGUGAUUAAAGCAGGAGGCGUCCCUUAAUUAGGAGCGUGAGGGCGUCUGUAUUGGGAGUCCCUUGAGGCAUCCCGGAAAAAGAGUGGGAACCGAGGAAGAAAGAGAAGGAAAAACCCUUAAUUAAGGGUUGUCCCUUACUCUUCAAUGAAAAAAAAAAAAAACAAAACAAAGGACUCUUUCUCCCUUACUCUUCAUCCCACCAAUAAAGAUGCUCUGAAGACACCGGUCUUAGCCGCCACGUGUCGCAUUACUACUGGGGAGAGGAACAGUGUCGACUCGACCGUGAAUUCUUUUUUUAUUUUUUUUCUUUCUCUCCUGCGAAAGGCGAUUCAAUGUCUCCUCCAUCGUCUUCUCCACUAUCAUCUCCUCUCUGUUUCGAGCUUCUCUUUGGUCAAACAACAGGUAAGCUCGUAUCUCUUCUCUAGAUCUAUAGUAAUACGAUGUGCGAAUCAACGAUUUGAUGUUCCUGUUGCAAAAUUUUCAAUCCAGAAUUGAAAUUUCAAUUUUUUUUUGGUUUCUUGAUUGAGAAAUCAGAAUGAUGAAGCUAUGUUGUGUUGUUGUUAUAUUGUCAAGAAACUGCAGUUUUACUCACUGUAUAGGACUGUGUACAACGAGAGGCGAGGUAAGAGCUGCUUGUUUGUGCUGUUUUGUCUUUGUGUAACAUCAUGUUCGAUCAAGAAAGGAUGAAACUUUUUGUUUAGCUCUUUGUUCCGGGUCGAUCUUGCUCCUGUUAUGCUAAAAUGUUUGUUUAAAAUGUACUUUGUUUCAAAGUUUGUAUAAAAUGUUCAAAAUUUGUUUAAAAAGGUUCAAAGUUUGUAUAAAUUGAUCUUGUUCAUGACAUACUGUUUCUGAUCUUGUAAUGCAGGUAUUGUAUUCAUCAGAGAGUGGAUCAUUGUGCUGCGGUUGGAGAGGUCACGAGAGUGGAGCUUUGUGAAAGGUGUGUGUUUCGAUCAGGUGAGACAGUGUUGUAGUCUUGUGUCUGUCUUGUAUUCACCAUUGUGCUGCUGUUGGAGAGGUCACGAGAGCUGUUGUUGUUGUCUUGUAGUCUUGCUGUUGUUGUAGUCUUGUAGUCUUGUGUCUGUCUUGUAUUCAGGAGAUAGAGGUCAGGUGUUGUAGUCUUGUGUCUGUAUGUAUUCACAAGAAAUGUUGCUGUUGUUGUAGUCUUGUGUCACGAGGUCAUGUAUUUGUUGUUGUUAUAUAUCUGAAACACACUCAGCUUUAUAUGUGUCACUUGUUAUAUACUUCACAAGAAUAAAUCACAAACACACUCAUCCUCUCUAUCUUUCAUCUCACGUUUUCUCUCCAUCCUCUCUAUCUUUCAUCUCAUGUUCUCUCCCUUCUGUUUCCAUAUCUGAAACAAUUUAUAUUUUAUAAACAAGAAUCUAAAACAAAUCUUGCAUGGUUUCCUCUUCUCAUCACAAUUUGGAUGGUUCAAUUGAUGAAACUUUUGAAUCAAACAUUUGAGAAUUUGUGCAAUGAUUUUUAUUGUUAAGAACUUUUAUUAAAAAACUACCAAUAAACCAAUAUUAUUAAGUGUCUUUUAACAAAGUCUCUUAUCUUAAUUUUAAUAGUUAAAAAUUCACUAAGGUCCACUUAAUAACCAAUUAAGGGUUUUACCAAUAAACAUGCUUUAACCCUAGAAACCCAUUAAAUUUCUUAAUGAUUAUUUAAGUAUUAAAUUUUAGCUAAGAACUUUAGUUUAGAGUCAUUAAAUUUUCUUGCUCCAAUAGGAGUUUCUUAGUCAAGGGUUUCUUAAAAAAAAAUUGUUUUUAAAGAUAAAAUAAGUAAAAAAUCUCACAUUCGACAUCUCUAGCAUUUGCCAGAGCCUUGCUAAAGGUAUUGUCAGAGGAACAUACAUGCUCUUUAGAUACUGAUUCUGAAGUAGCACUGUCAUCACUUUUAUCCGUCAAAGACUCAUCACUCAUGACAGGCUUGUGGUAAUUAGUGAGGAUAAGCAAAACAUGAAGGCUUCACUCUGCUAAUGGAUGUUUAGAUCCGUAACCGCCGUUAUUUACAAGAUAGUUCAAAGGCAAGAGCACAAAUGUCGCUGCAUAUUAAAAAAAAAAAAUCUCAUGAAUACAUGGAACCUUUCACAAAGCUAAGUCGGAUAAUAUAAAGUAUCUGAACAGCAAUAGAAAAGGGUUAACAUGUACGACAGUAACACAAUAUGUAACAAAAACACCUACCAGUUGCAGAACCAACUCUUUCCAAAAUGCCUGGUGAAUCUCCAUCAGAAUACAAAUAGCCUUUUGCAUUUGGAGGGGUACGGAAAAUAUAAUUAAGUAGCAAUCUUCUGACAGCAAGAAAAACUAGAGACUUCUCCUAUAAAUUGUGAAGCAAAAGAAAGAGCAAUAAUUGGUCGGGGGUAAAAUCUAUGCAAAAGAUGAAGAAAAAAAUUAAUGAAGAUGUAACCUGAGACAUUGUUGCAUCAAUAAAAGGGUUCGCCUCUCUUGGUCCAGGUGAUGGGCCGGAGAGAUGUUGUAUCGACAUUGCAACAAUCAUGAAGUUCAUAAGUUCCUAAUGUAGAACAUACGAGUUGGGACUUGCCAAAUAAAUGAUGAAAAUCAGGAGAAUGUGACACUUGAUACUCAAAUUGAUAAGUAUAUAUAAAAUAUACAAUAAGCAUGUCAUACGUACCUCACUUCAGUCGAUCCAAUGAAGCUCAGCAGACUAUGCAUGACAAAGUUCUGGAUGUUUUGGUCUGCCAAUAAUACACUCUCAAUAAGUCAACUCAAGCUAGGCUAAAGUUACCAAUAGCUAUUUGAGAGAAUCAAUACCCAUUACAAAGCCAUGAAGAACUGGCUUACUCUCGUCUAGAGAUAGAUGCAACUCCUCAAGGCUGUCACUUUUUCCAUUCUCAAUCAAAUGCUUUAAAAACACUUAUGCAAUAUACAUUGCAUUAACAGCUUUCUUAUAGAUAGAAGCCUGAUCAUCAUCAGAAGCUUGAAGAACCUCUUGCAAACACCACGAUAGAUGAAUCAACAGUUUCGCAAGGUGCCUAGUGUAUACAUUGUUUUGCGCUGCAAAAAAAACAAAAGCAUCUCUAAUGCUCUCGACAACACACAUCUUUCUAUUUCAGUAACCGUAGAUCAAAAACCCUAGAAUUAAACACAUUGUGCACGAGAAUGACUAACGGAAGAGCUCGCAGGCUUGGUGAACCCGAUCGCUAGGCCACCGAGAGCUCGACGGAAGCUCGAGCAGCUUGUUCCAGAAAUCAAACGCCAAGGGAAACGAUUUCUCCCCGACGAAAGUCGUAAUGAGAUAUUCCGCCACGGAAAACAUCAUCACCACCGCCGGUGUUUCGCGGCGUCGACGGCGCGCCUCCCAUGUCUCCUUCUCCUUAAGCCUUGCCGAGUCAACGAGGGCGUAGUAUGAGUCAGUUAUGGUGAAGAUCAAAAACAAUGCGAAGACGGAGGAGACGUCGAUGAAAUUCGAUCGAGUCGUCGUCAUCCGUCGUCUUGGAUCCUUCCUCUGACGGAGAACACUAGAAGACGAAAGAAAGAGAGUAAAAAAAAAUUAAAUGAGAUGUUGACACGUGACGCUUAAAAUCGGUCUCAAAAAUCCUAAGCUAAUGAUCAGUUAUCUUUCAUUUAUUUAGUUUUAAUUUAAUUAAAUCAAUAAUUUUGUUUAAAAACCCCACUAAAGAUCAGCGAUAAUCAAUCUUAGAUUUGUGAUAAAAGAGAUGUAGUUUAUGUUCAACCCCUUCAGUAAAACAUGACCCUAUAAAAUUGCAACUUGAGCUUUGUUGGUUUGACUUUUUGGUCUACAAUGAUAAGAAUUCAGUGAGCACUGUACUUGAGGAAAAAUACAUUUUUUGGACCCAAACAUUUUGUAUCGUGCAUUUUUAUAUCCAAACAAAUCAUAAAAUCAAAACCAUACAUGAACUUCAGUCCGUAGCAUAAAAACAUGUCUUGACUAACAUCUUGUUAGUCAACUGUUAUAUUGGAUUAAAAAAAUUACAUUUGAUGAGAAUCAAACCGUAGGGGAAAAUUGCCAAAUAUGACUCACAACUUGAUUUCAAACACAAAGGUUAACCCAAACAUGAAUCAAAUGCAAAAGUAACCUAAAAAGCUAUUGAAAUUACAACCAACCCCUUGUGAACAAACAAAAAAACCGAAUUUUUUUUUACAUUUUUAACCCUCGUAAGUCGUCUGCCCAGACGUCUUUCUGGAAAGUCGUCUGGACUAGUUUUACUUAGAAAUAAUUUAAAAUUUUGUAAAAAAUAUUUUGAUAAGUGAAAAAUUGAAAUCAUGUAAUUAACAUAUGUUUUAAGAGAUAUAAAUUAAGAUAUAACAAAAGUUAAUUGUUUUCAACAUAGAUGAGUGAAAGUAGUGAGUCAUGAUAUUCUUCGGUUUAGGUUUUGCCAACAUAUGUUGUAGUAUUGUAUGUGUUCUUAGGGUUAGAUUUUGGAAUGCAUAAAUGUUUUUUGGAAAACUUUAAAAUUUACCUAAGUGUUUUUAUUUUUGUGUAUAAUAAACACUAUUUAAGUAUAACUACGGGUUUAUAACGUGGUUAGUUAGUUAAUUUAGUCAAUUUAGUUUAGGGGUUAAAUUUAGGGUCUGGGACGACUUACUAGUAAGUCGUCCAAACCUUUAAUUUUACAAUGUACUUUUAAACCUAACCGGAUUAUUUACCGGCCAUAUAUAAGGUGUUUUUUUUUCACUGUUUAUCAAAAAUCAGAAGCUGUUUCUCUCAAAGGUGAUUUCAAAGGCGAUUUCGGUCGAUUCUCUCUAAUCCAUCGUUCUCAUCGUUCUCACCGCCGGUUAUCUCUCCGCCGUUAUCACCGUCGUUCUCACCACCGUUCUCACAGCCGCUUCCUCUAUUUAAGAUCCGAGAGGAAACCCUAGUGCGCAUUCUCUCAGAGGCAUCUCGUUGAACUCCGCCGCCGGUAAGUUAUAUCUUUUACUGUCGAGUGAUUGAUUGAGGAAAAGAUGAACAUAAAACUGGAAGUCUUGGAAGACUUAUAAUUAAGUCGUCUGGAAAGUCUUCCAGCUGGAAGAAUUUCCAGACGACUUAAUUAUAAGUCUUUCAGCUGGAAAACUUGUUAGAUGACUUAAUUAUAAGUCUUUGAUUGUUUGAGAUGGUUGUCUUUGAUUGUUUUGCAGGCAAAAAAAAUGGAGAUGCCAGAACUCCCCCGUAGGAUAUAUACAUUAGGGGAAGAGCCCCCCGCAGUGCAUAGCAUUUCGUAUCAUACUUGUUGGACGUUGCAUGCUGCUUUAAAGAAAGCUCUUCAUGAUGAUGAAUAUGAAGAGCUGAAGGAGUCGAAGUUGGGAGUUUUCAUCAAGUUCCAAGAGCUGGGAUUUGAUUGGGCUUCAAGGCUGGUUCACUACAUGCUCGGUUUCCAGCUGGACAUAAAGAAGAAGUAUGAGCUGUGGAGUCUUGUUGGUUCAGAACCUGUGAGGUUUUCACUGUUAGAGUUUGAACUCCUCACUGGUCUAAACUGCGAGUACAUCGAGGACCUUGAGAGACCUCACUCUGUUGUUACAAAGGAGUUGACUUCUUUUUGGGAGAUGCUGGUAGUACCUGUGAGGUUUUCACUGUUAGAGUUUGAACUCCUCACUGGUCUAAACUGCGAGUACAUCGAGGACCUUGAGAGACCUCACUCUGUUGUUACAAAGGAGUUGACUUCUUUUUGGGAGAUGCUGGUAGUUCAUGUCGAAGCUGGGCCAUCUACUCAGGAGAUAAUAGCAGCACUUGAGAGAUGCGAAGGGUGGUCUCAGGAUGAUCACAAGCGGCUCGCGUACCUUUCCAUCUUCACUGGAUACAUUGAAGGGAGAAAGUAUUCAACCCCUACACGGGUUAGUCUGGCAAGGCUAGUGAUGGAGCUAGAACGGUUUGAGAAUUAUCCAUGGGGGAGAGUCGCGUUUAAGAUGCUGAUGGACUCUGUGAAGGGCAUAGAUAUUUCGGGUUGGUACACUAUUAAUAAGUUUGUGCAAGCUCUCCAGGUCUGGGUGUACACAGCUCUUCCGGAAUUGGGUGCUACUUUUGGUAAUCCUCUCCCAAACAAUCUGUCUCCACCGAUACUGGCUUACAAGGGUCGUAAAGGACGCAUACAGUUUAAAGAGGCUAUCCUCAGUCAGGUAUUUACUUCAAUCUGGACGACUUCGCAGUAAACUUAUAAUUAAGUCGUCUGAUAAGUCUUCCAAUUAGACGACUUAGUAGAAGACUUAUAAUUAAGUCGUCUGGAAAGUCUUUCAGCUGGAUGACUAAGUAGAAGCCUUAUAAUUAAGUCGUCUGGGAAGACUAUCCAGACUACUUAAUUAUAAGUCUUCUACUAAGUCUUCCAGUUGGAAUACUUUCCAGACGACUUAAUUAUAAGUCGUCUACAAAGUCGUCCAGCUGGAAGACUUUCCAGACGACUUAAUUAUAAGUCGUCUGUGAAGUCUUUUCUUUCCAUCUUUCUUAAUCUGUCAAAUAUCUAAGUUCAUAUCUUCUAUUCACUGCAGACUAGGGUGAUCAACUUUGUUCAAAAGGACACUGGUGAAAUAUUUCCAAAAUGGGAGUUUGAUGUUGAGGACACGCUCUCGGAGAACAUAAUUAAACUCAUGUUUGUGAAGAAACCGUGGAAGUGGACCAUGGAUUGCUGGGAAGUCACCGGUACUUGGGUCAAUACAAAGCCGGUGGUUGUGAGUCCAGCGAAGAAAAAGGUAGUGAAGGAAGACAGUCCAAGACCUCGGAAGAAAGCUCGUAAAGAGGCACCUGUUGCAGCUGCAGAGGCUAGUGAAGAGGCAGGUUCAGAGGCUAGUGAAGAGGUGACUACGACUGUUGGUGGGUUGACCAAAGAGGAUAUUAAAACCAUUUUCAAGGACAUAGCUGAUGCCAUGAGGGAAGGGUUUGGGACGUGCCUUAAGGAGAUCAAGUAUCUGUCGGAAAGGGUGGAAGCUGUGGAGAAGAAAGUUGGUAUCACCACAAAACGGAAAGGGGCAUCAUCUAAAACACUACCUCUCCACCUAAACCGACGCUCGAACCCGGGGUUAGUAACAAAUCCUCUCCCAAAAAGAGAUUGACUAGACAAACUCUUAAGAAUAAGAAUUGAAAAGUUGCAUUUGCUUUGUUUCUUGUAUGUCAGAACAUGUGUGCUUUGUUUAUAGUGUAUGGAUUUUAUAUAUGUAUUUUGUUUCACGUUUGAAGACACUCAUUGGUUAUUAUUGUUUGAAAUGGAUCUUUGGUUAUUAUUGUAUAAACCCAUCUUGUAUAUUGCAGAGUGAAAGUGACAAUGGGACGAACGCGGGAAGGAAGAGCUUGGCGGAGGAUAAAGGUCCAGAUGUGCCCGCAGAUGUGCCUGCAGCUGUGCCCGCAGAUGCUAGUUCCUUGGAAGAUAAAGCUCCAGAACCGAGCCUUGUUCUAUUGGACAAAAAUCAAUCCACUGUUUCAGAUUUACAGAAGGAGGAUGCUAGAUAUCUAGAAAAGAGGGAUGCUGCUUUGGCACUUUGCCGUGCAAAGAGUGAUCGAACAAGGAAACUUGCUGCCUCACAAAAAUCUCCUUAUACGGCAAACAGCACGGCCAAAGUGAUCAUUUUAAACAGAAAGCUUUAUCCAGGCUAUAAUCCUUUUGCACCAAUUGACAAGAAUAAGUUGAAGGAGCUCGCUGAUUGGUUGAAAUCUUGUCCGUAAGUGUUUGCUUUUCCCAUAAUAGCCUGCUUUUCACAUAAUAGCUUGCUUUUCCCAUAAAACCUGAUUGUUUUUCAACAUUUUGUGUUUGCAGUCAUUAUAGAACAACUCUCGAUAAAAAACCACGUAAAGGUAGAACUUGGUGGUAUCAAAUCCUCCAAACCUCCCUAGAGUGGCUGGAGGACUUUGUAAGUCUUCUGCUAUGACGACUUAUCAGACGACUUAAUUCGUCUACGACUUACUUGUAAAUCGUCUGGUAAGUCGUCUACGUAGAAGACUUACCACUAAGUCGUCUGAUAUCUUCGGACUUGUACUUUAUUUUAUAUGCAGCAUAUUGAUGGUUGGAUUAAUGUGCUGAGUAAGAGGUACGACGCUAACCCACAACAUUUCAGGAGCGAGAGAAUGUGCUUCCUUGAUCAUCUCUUUGCUCAGCAAUGGAGAUUCAACUUCAAGGAUUUUAAGGACUCGAAGCCCAAUCACAACGGUUUAGGAAGAAGACUCCCUGGUGGGGCGUGGAAUUAUUAUGCAUGCAUUAUACCAUCAUUUUGCCAAUCGAACAAGGUUUAGGGGACGGAUAUUGAUGAUAUCUAUGUGCCAGUAAACUUCGCCGACAGUCAUUGGAUUGCUAUGUGGAUAUCGAUCCCUAAGAGGCACAUAGUUGUCUUUGACAGCAUUUGUUCUAGUAUCUUCCCAGAAGAACUCGAUGUGGUAAUGGAGCAUUUUCUCUACAUGGUCCCCUAUCUGCUUGUUGAGUGCGCUUCCUCAGAUGAACUACAUGCCCAAUACAGCCUGGAGCCAUUCACAUAUGAGAGACCGACCAAUAUACCUCCGGCCCGAGCUGGUGAUUGUGGCGUUUACACUCUAAAGUACAUUGAAUGUCAUGCUCUUGGGAUAGAGUUUAGUAAAAAAGACUUUGCUAAGCCCAACGGGAAGAGUAUGGGGGAUAAGAUGGCGGUAGAUAUAUUUUAAGAGCUUCCUGACGCGCAUGAGUUCGAAAACAAGGACAUGGAUGACAUCCUGAGUACGUAUGACGGGUGAUAAACAGGCCACUUUAUAUUAUUUUGUAUGACAGUUUAGGCUGAUGUGUGUAUUUGAACUUGAUCCCUAUUUUGUAUUUGAACUUGAUCCCUAUUUUGUAACUAUAUUCUGCGCAGAAGACUUACAGUUAAGUCGUCUGGAAUGUUGGACGACUUAACUAUAAGUAGUCUGGAAAGUCUUCUGAGCAGUGACCUUUUGUAACUAUAUUUCGGAUAAUAUAAAGGGCAAGAUCAUCUCAAAUUUGUUUGGUUGUGCAAUUUGACAAAGAAGUUGACACAGAUAAGUUCAUAACACAAAUUUUUAGUACAUAGACUGCACACUGGAUGACUAACUUGAAGGUCUUCUGGAAGAAAAAACCCUGGACGACUUAGUUGAAGGUCUUCUGGAAGAUUAAUCACUGGACGACUAACUUGAAUGUCUUCUGGAAGAAAAAACCCUGGACGACUUAGUUGAAGGUCUUCUGGAAGAUUAAUCACUGGACGACUAACUUGAAUGUCUUCUGGAAGAAAAAACCCUGGACGACUAACUGGACGACCUUCUGGACGACUUAAUUGAAGGUCUUCUGGAAGACUAAUCACUGGACGACUAACUUGAAGGUCUUCUGGAAGAAAAAACCCUAGACGACUAACUGGAAGACCUUCUGGACGACUUAAUGGAAAGUCUUCUGGAAGACUAAUCACUGGACGACUUACAUUGUGGUUUCGUAUGGCCAGUUUCCUUGCAUUUUGAGCAUCUAUAACCCUGUGUUGCUUCCGGGGUUUGCGUCCUCUCAUCCUGGAUAGCUCCAACCAAGAUUGCCAUCUUGAUUUCUUCUGUCUUCCCGGACCACGUUUUACUUCCGGAGGAAAGCAUGUGCGUUCCUCAACUUGUUGUCCAACACAAGGAUAUAUAUUCUCUGAGUAUCCUGCAAACAGAAAAUCCUUUGAGUACACUGGACAUACAAGUGUGGAGAUAUGCAAACCAACAGAUGUUCCAGCAGCUAUAACAUGAGAGCAAGGUAUUUUCUCCACUGCAUAGACACCACAAUCACACUUUCCAUGUUCCAAAUCAACCACACAGUCCAUUUUCCCACCUUUCACAAAGAAUCGCCAUCCAUCAAUUGGUUGUACCGUCAUCGUAUCCGCUAUCUCCGAUCGAACAACAAGCAAGUAUUCAACACCUCGACUAUGUUGAGUUGGGAGACUCAAAGCAUCUUCUCUCCUUUUCCAAAACCACUUUCCUAGCUUCUCCCUUAUGAACUCCAACAGGAACUGAACCGGAAAUCCUCUAGCUCGCUUCAGAGCGGAAUUAAUAGAUUCAGCGAUGUUGCUUGUUUUUAUGUUGUACCUGUCCCCCUGACAAUAAACCCUUGACCAUAGGCUGACGUCGGCAUUCUCCAAAUACGUUGCAAGAUCCGGGUUUGCACUCCGUAUCUCAGCCAUGUACCGGUCAAAAUCUGAAACCGUAUGAGCAUAAACAGCACCUUUCACCAAGUACAAGAGAAGUUUCCCUUUAUACUUUUUGACAAUGUUAUCUUGAAGGUGAUAAUAACAUAUUUCUCGUGUUGCCCAAGGAAACACCUUAUCACACGCACUUUUAAUGGCCGCGUGCCAGUUAUCUUGAAGGUGAUAAUAACAUAUUCCUCGUGUUGCCCAAGGAAACACCUUAUCACACGCACUUUUAAUGGCCGCGUGCCGGUCAGAGACUAUCACCAGAGGCUGCUCAUCAGAGACACAACUAGCCAAUUUUGUGAAAAACCAUUCCCAAGAAGGUUCAUCUUCAGCAUCUACGAUCCCAAAAGCCAAUGGAAAUAUCUGAAAAUUCCCAUCUUGUGCGGCUGCAACUAACAUAACACCUUCAUAUUUCCCACUUAGGUGAGUCCCAUCCACCACAAUGACCCUUUUCUGAUACUUAAAACCUUUGAUAGAAGCUCCAAAAGAGAGAAAUAAAUACUUAAAUCUAUUGAUAGAAUCAAGUUCUAUAGCCGUGAUAGAAUCGGGAUUUACUAAAGAGAUUUGCUCGAGAUAUGAUGGCAGACGCGAAUACCCAUCAUCUGUUGAUCCUCUCACCAAUGUUUGUGCAUAUAAAAGUGCUCUGUAUGAAGUGGUGUAAUCAAGCGUCAUGCCAAACAUGUUCUUCAUUGCAUCAGUGAUAUGCUGCGGAUUCAACCCAUCAAUGAUUCCAACACGAUCAAUGAAAAGCCUACCAACAUACUUCGGAGUACAGUGUCUCCGCUGAGCGAGUCGGUCUCCCGCUGAGCAUGUAUGUUUUUCCACAUACUUUGUUACCCAAAAUGUGUUUGACCCAUGUUUCACACUCGCUCUGACCUUCCAUUGACAACCACUAACCAGACAUGUUGUCACAAGGAGAGUUUUCGUUGACUUGUAUAUUCUGAAGGAGAACUUAAACCUCACUGCUGUCAACCGCAGCUCUGAAAGCAGUGCAUCCUUGCUAACAAAAAUCUGGUUGACAUAGAUAAUGUUACCAUUCGAUCUUCCUCCUUCAAUCUUUUCGAUAUCUUCAAAACACAUAUCAUCAUCUUCCUCAUCCUCAUCUUCAACCUUUCCAUAAACACUGUAAUCCUCACCAUUCUCGUCCGCUUCAGCAACAAUAGAGAUACCAGCAUCCUCCUCCACAUCGUCCUCCUCCCCAUCAUGAUUUUCAUCUUCAACCAAAUCAUCAUCAUCAUCAUCAAAACAUACAUCAGCUUCAUCAGCUUCAUCAUCUUCCCUGAACUCUGAAACCGUUUCCACCUUGCUACGGCUUGAUACACAAAGACGUACUCCAUGCGUUUUGGUUAUCUCGAGCAAGUUUCGAACUUGUCUAUCACUUGUAACAUGAAUAGGAGGGGUGUCUGGAGCCUGCAUCAUUUCUGCUGGUAAUGAGUAGGUUAUCUCCACAGAUUUUGUGCUCAUGUCCAGGUUAUAAUCUUCUUGAGCCAUUGCAAGAAGUUCACAUGUGUCGAACCUUCCCCCAAAAAAAUGAUUCUCACUCCUUGGACAUUAUCAACCACAAAAUCCCAACGGCAAUCAUUCAACAACCAUUCUCCAUACACUGCAUGUAACUGACGCAUCAUCUACAAAAAUUCAAAAUAAAACACAUUAGUAAACAUAGAGAAAAUGAAAGUUUACUAAACAUUGACGCAGACGACAUACCAGUCGUCUUACUUGACUUUCAAGUAAGUCGUCUUACUUGACGACUUCCGCGUAAGUCGUCUGAGAAAAGUUAAAUAUUUAAGUUUUAUUUUCCAAUUGCAAAAGUAACAUGAGACGACUUACAGAUAAGUCGUCCAGAUUUAAUAAAAUAUUGAAAAUUUUGUUUUCCCGGAGACGACUUACUGGUAAGUCGUCCAGGAAAAGUCAAAUAUCUGACACAAUUCGGUCAAAUGCAAAACUAACAUAUUUAUCCUAGACGACUUAUCAGUAAGUCGUAUAGGGUAUUCUCUAGAUUUUUUUUUAACAAACAAAGAUGACGACUUAAAAGUAAGUCAUCCGUUUGACCAGAAGACUUACCCGUAAGUCUUCUACAGCCAGACUACUUACGGGUAAGUCUUUUACACAAACAGAUCUGGAAAAAAUUUCAGUUUCAUACCUUAAACUAGUGAGAUGACUUCCUUAGCACACAUAGUCUUCUCCAACCACCCAGAAUCUCAAACGAAGUAACCCACCAAGAAUAGUAUGCUUGAAUGGCUCUAUAAACCAUAAAAAAAUUUGUAUCAAAAGCUUGAGUUUUUUGGAUGAAUAUGGAGGCAAAGUGAAAGAGAUGUUGUUUUUAGUUCAUAACAAGUGAGAAAGAGAGAGUGUAAAUCGAUUUUAGGUGCAUUAAGAGCUUCAAAUUGGUUGUUGAUGGUGGUUGGGGUAUUGAUGACAAUGGCAAUCUUGUAAUUACUUGAAGAUGAUGAGGGUGAGAGAGUAAAAAUGUCAUUUUCGGAAGAAAAAUUUUUUUAAAAAAUUUGAUGGCAUUUUCGUGAGUAUCAUGAACUUGUGGGGUGAAUAGAACAAAAGAAAAAUCCAAAAAAAACAUGGGUUAGUUUUAGGUUUGACUUUGAGUUUUGAGUCAAUCUUGCAAAAAGCCCCAAACCGUAGUCCCACACACACGAUACAUUAUUAAUUUUUUUAUUGUUUUCUUAUUAGAAAUAAAACAUUUAUAUUUUGAUUUGUAUAUUCUAAAGAAAAAAAUAUUUUUGUUUACAAAUUUUAUUUAGUACAAAUUAUAAUUGCACCAAUAAUCUAUAUAUUUCAAGUUUUUACGCUCUUACAAAUCUACAUAUAAUAGUGAAUAUAUUUAUCUUAAAAAUUAAAACUUAACUUUUUAAAUAAACAAGUGAAAUUUUCUAAGAUAGCAUUUUUAGUUUAUUUUCACAAAAAUAGCUCUCAAUGAAGAAAAUUGCUAAAAUAAUAUUUAUUAAAGGGUAAAAAUACAUUUUUAACUAAUCUAGACUUUGUGUUUAGAGUUAAGGUGUAGGGUUUUGGAGAAAUGGUUUCAAAUUUUUUAAAAAUAUAUAUAUAUUAAAAUUUCAAAAUAAAAAAGGCUAUUUUGUCAUUUUUUUCUUCAAGUGUUAUUUUAUAACAAAAACUUGAAAAUGACUGUCUAAGAGAAUUGUUCCAUAAACAAUGCACACCAAAUUAAAUAAUCACUAUGUGUUUUUCAAUCAUAUAUAUUUACUCCAGGUUUUGAAAAUACUAAUUAAGUUUUAUAUGUUAAAUUUGUAAUUGGUAAAUCAAUUAAAAAAUCAUAAGUUUACAGGUCAAAUUUGUAAGAAGUCUAAAACAUAUGGGGGGGAAUAUAUUAAAAAGAAGAAGAAGAUGAAGCGCGUCUGAAAAAAGCUACGUUUGGUUUUAAAUCAUUUUCUCCCCUUUGGAGGUGUUGCGAGAGCGUGCGUUAAUAUCGAUUCAAAACGAAGACUGCUCCGAUGGUGAGAUCUUCUCUCGACGCUUUUUCCAAGUCUUUUGGUGUUUGUCACAAGUAUUUUUUUUUUUUACGGGGAACGCGAAUUUUGUUAGGGUUUUUGGGUACUUCUUCGUGGAGAUUAUGCAUAAGUUGUUGGAAGUCGAAUUCAGUUGAUUACUAAUGAUUUCCACUUCUAGUCCUUUCUGCAGUAGAACGUGAAUUUUUGUUCUUGUUCUUGAUUGAAACUGAGUUCCUUUUAAUGAGAUUCAAUCUUUGUCUCAUGAAAGAAAGAAAGAAAAAAAAAACAUGUAAAAGUAUCAGCUUUUGGUUAUAUAGCCUUAAAGACUUUUGGAUUUGAUGAUUAUUAGCUAGGAUUUGAAUCCGUAAUGUUAUCUAGGAUGUGAUUCCAUAUACUUGUAGAUCAUUUUAGCUCAUAGCUUAUAAUUUUUCUUGGUAAAACUUCAUUGGAUUCUGCUACUUUUGCUCUCAUGUUUGCUUUUCGUGAAAAGGAAUCCUUUUUUCUUUCAGGGGUUCUUGAGCAUUGUUAGUCAUUGCUUUACUUUUGUUCUAACUUCACAAAUGAAUUAAAAGUAGGCCCAUCUCUUGUUUCAUCGCUCUUUGGCAUAUUAUGUAAGAAAAAUGAGUGUUGUUCUGUAUUGAAUGCAAAAGAAAGUACCCUUAGACACGACUUAGUUGAUUGGUUUUUAGUUGAUAUAUUAGUUUUCAGCAAAUCAUGGCACUAUGCAUCAUGUCAGCCCAAAGUUAUUUCUCCUUCGGAAGUUGAGAUUUUUUUUUUGCAAUUUUAUGAUUCUGACCCCUUUUACUUCUCUCUCUGUGUAGGCUGAUCCUGAACUAGAAGCUAUCAGGCAGAGGAGAAUGCAAGAGCUCAUGGCUCAACAUGGCACUGUAAUAUUCUGAAUAAUAACCUUCACUUAUGCUUCUUCUCUUUUUUUUCAAUUGAGAAAAAUUGCACUUUGUGUGGCUCAUUGAUUGUGAACCAACCUAAUUUGCAGGGGAAGCAGGGCAAUCAGCAGAAUCCAGAUCAAGAGAGAGCACAAGAAGAUGCUAAAAGGUCUGUUGUCUAUUACUUGAAAGCAAACUCUAUGUUGAGCUAACCUUCUUUUCUCUGAUUGGAACAUGGGUUCAGGGAAGCUGAUGAACGUAGACAAAUGAUGCUUAGUCAAAUACUGUCUUCCCAAGCCCGAGAGAGAAGUAAGUUACCACAUCUAAAUAUGCUUUCGACUUCAUCUAGUUCCUCUUGCUUUGUUUCUUUCUUCGUGACUGUCACUGAUAUGAUAAUCUUCCACGUUGUGGUAAUGUAUCAUUUUUCUAUAGUUGCUCGAAUUGCACUGGUGAAACCUGACAAGGCUAGAGGCGUAGAGGAUGUUAUUUUAAGAGCUGGUCAAAUGGGACAGAUUGUUGAGAAAGUAAGAAUCCACUUACCUUUCCUUGUGAUAGAGUUCAUAAUUCGUUUUAUAAAUGUCUACUCAGUUUCGCUGACACUUCACGAAUGUUACGCAUCUGAUAGUUAUUGCAAUACUCUUGUUUGUUUUUAACAGGUUUCUGAGGAGCGGCUCAUAACCCUCUUGGAACAAAUAAACAGCCAAACUAGCAAGCAGACCAAAGUCACGGUACGGUCACACAAUCCUCCAAAAACACAAGUUAUCAAAGCAAAAAGCUUUGCUCUUAGUUUAACGAUAUCAUCGAGUGUAAGUUUAUCUUGGAUGUGUUUACUGUUUACAGAUCCAGAGACGUCGUGGGGUGGACGACGAUUAGGAAGAAGAAGAUUAUGCUGUGCUUUUGUAUAUCUAUGGAGAUCUCACUGUUGAGUUGGUGAGUUCUAGUUAGAUGUUACCGUGAAAUAUGUUUAUUCUGAGUGAAUCUUAAUGAUCUUCCAAAUGGUUGGGAUGUGAUAAAGAGUAAUCUCAAACUGAAACUCUGCAUUUUAUAUUUUGGACAUUUCAUUUGACUCUAACCCGACUCUUUUUUUAUAAAAAAAAAAAUUGCUUCUAUUCUGACUAAUUUUAUCUGAGUUCUUCAUGAAGAAUUAAUCAAUUUAUUGAUACAAAAUAAAUAAUUCAACUUCUGUCGGCCGUGAAGUACUGAAGCGACUAUCAUUUUCAUGUCACAAGAAUCAAAGGUCAACCGAAAUACUAAAGCAAGCAUUUGACAAAUAAGUGACGCCAUAUGGUUCAACUUUAUCGUUACUUUAUGAUCAAAAGUAUGAUUUCUGAUUAUUUUUAAAGCAUUCAUUUGUCAAAUAAGUGACGCCAUAGACCACAUUUCUAACAAACAAGCAUUAUCCAUACGUUUCCUAACGAUUUCUUUAUAACCUUCCCAAAACUAUGUAAUUACCAAGAAUAAAAUGGUCCUAGUCAGUUUUUACACUCAAAGUUAGUUGUUACUUCUUACAAAUACAAUUAAAGAGAAAGGGGACACUGGGCAGUCAGUGUAUCCGUUUUUAUCCACUCGCCAACAGAAGAUCAUUUGUAAAGUGGCUCAACUCAGCAAACUCAGCAGGAGCAGUGAAUACGUCUCAUGUGUUGCUUCUGUUGGUUUGUUAUCCGUUUUUAGUUUUGAGCAAAAAAGUUAUCUAAAUUAUAAUAAACGAAAUCUUUUGUAUUAUAAUGAAUUAAACAAAAGUAGUAUACUUAUGUAAAUAUUUUAGAGUUUUUUACUUUAUACAGUUGAUGUGGAUAAAAAGUUUCUCUUUUAUUCUUAAUGUUAUUUUAUAUCGAUUUAAAACAUAUAAUUAUCUAUAAAAUAUAAAAAAAAUAGCUUGGACUUCUAACUAACUAAGCUUGUCUCAAAUUCACGUGCAAAAUUUAAGUAGCUAAAAUAAAUAUAUAAUUAUCAAGUAAUUUACAAAUAAGUAUCAAGUAAUUUAUAAAUAGUUCACACAUAACAUAUAUAGUAAACCGUUGUAAAUAACUUGUAAAUACGUCAAUUUCCAGCAAAUACUUAAAACUUGUAUAACAAACCAAAUACAAAUUUAAAUGGCAAAUUGUCAAAAAUACCAUUUUCAAAGUACCAUUUUUUACGUUUACACUAACCACUUUUACCCUCAUUUUUAAUGAAGGGUAAAAGACAUUUAUAACCUUUUGAUUAACUUUGACAAAAAAAUAACUAAUCUAAAUUUAAAACAUCAACUCUAAACCCUAAAUCAUCAACUCUAAACCAUGAAACAUCAACUCUAAACCCUAAACUCCGAAACAUCAACUCUAAACCCUAAACCCUAAACCUUCAAAUCAAAAACCCUAAAACAUCAACUAUAAACCCUAAACGUAAACCUUAAACCCUAAAUCUAAACUUAAAACAUCAAAUUUAAACCCUAAAUCAUCAACUCUAAACCCUAAACAAUGAAACAUCAACUCUAAACCCUAAACCCUAAACCUUCAAAUAUAAACCCUAAAACAUCAAUUCUAAACCCUAAACAUAAACCCUAAACCCUAAACCUACAAAUCUAAACUCUAAAACAUCAACUCUAGGGUUUUAGGGUUUAGAGUUGAUGUUUUAUGGUUUAGGGUUAAUUUUUUAGGGUUUAGAGUUUACUUUUUAGGGUUUAGGGUUUAGUGUUGAUGGUUUAGAGUUUAGAGAUGAAGUUUAUGGCUUAGGGUUUAGAGUUGAUGUUUUAGGGUUUAGAGUUGAAGGUUUAGGGUUUAGAGUUGAUGUUUCGGGGUUUAGGGUUUAGAGUUGAUGUUUCAGGGUUUAGGGUUCGUAUUUAAAAAAAAAAUAGGGUUUAGGAUUGAUGGUUUAGGGUUUAGGGUUCGUAUUUCGAAAAAAAUAGGGUUUAGGAUUUACGGUUUAGGAUUUACGGUUUAGUUUUAGGGUUUAGGGUUCGAAUUUCUAAAUAGUAUAAUUUGAAAAAAAAUUAUUUUUUAUUUUGUUAGAGUUUUAUUUAUUUAAAUAUUUAUUUAUUAUAUAUAUAAAGAACAAAGAUAUAAAAGUUUUUUCCCACUUUAGUGAAGAAAAUAUUUUUGAAAAUAUCUUUUUAGUGGUGAUAAAAAUGAAAAGUGGUAGUAUAAAAAUGAUAAACAUGUAAUUUUCCGGGUUUAAAUUUACAUUACUCGAACAACACAAGUCGAGUACUAAAUAUACCAAAAGAUGCAAUUAGUGCCCACAUCAGACCUUACCCAUCACUCGCGUAAAUCGGAAGCUGGACUAUGCAGUUAAAAAUGAUGCAAUUAUACAAUGAUAAAGUGGAUAUGUGAAAGAGAGAGAAAAAAAGACAAUUAAACAACAUUUUAAGCAAAGUCUUUUGCGAUCCGUACAAUAAUCUCUUAUUAAAAUGAUAAAACGCAAAGAAUUUUUCUUCAUUAGAAAAUGGUAAUAGAAAAUGUCAUUAGUGGAGUGGAUUGAACUUUAAAAUCUCGAUUUCAACUUAGGCUAAAACGUUGACCUUUGACUUUUUAAAUUUCAGUCAUAGAUAUUAACUAAAUAUUAAAAUUAAUAUCUCCAAUAUUGUCGUUCAUCAAUUAACGCACCAAACACAAUACCUGCCCAUAUAGACAAAAUAAUAAAUUAAAAGAAAAAAUCAUUCAUAAUCAUAACUUUAGUGUCACACUCAACUAAUUAGAAUUGACAUGAGUAGUUCAGUCAGACUUUCAUGUUUUGUUAUUUAAUCUAAACUAUAUAGUUUUGAGUUUGAAUACAGACUUUACAAGUUAUACGUUAUUUGUGAAAAUAAAGUAUUAUUCACCGUAUUUAUAUAUUAGUAUUGUAACCAAUAGCAUGAGUACAAAGUAAGCAAGUAACUGAAAUAAAAAUGUAUAUAUGGUAAGUGGUAACUAAUCGGUCCAUUUUUUGACCGAUUCACAUGUUUGUCACUACAGAACUAGUAUGAGCUCUUAUAGAAUUUAGUUUUUCUUUUAAUUGUAAAAGGGAAUAUUAUAAAAUUUACUUACAGACCAAAAUCCAAAAAUAGCCACUAAAAUAUAGGUUUAAAUUAUACACGAGAAAUUAUAAUUUAUAAGAAAGCAAAUUAUGAUUUAUAUUAACCAGUUUGUCCCAUUAUUUUGGUAGUGGCGACACUGGACUUGAAAAGACUAUUUAAAGACUGAUUUACAUAUGCUACUAUUUUUAUCAAAUUAAAAAAAAAAUUAUAUAUGCUACUGUGGAACAUUUGAACUAGCAAAUAAAAAGUUGGUAUGUAAAUGUUAAAGAAAAAGUAACAAAUGCGCAUCAUUUGGCUUCUACAAGUGUCUCCGCGCUUGACCUAUCAACUAAUCUUGUAUUAUUAUUAUCUCUUAUGUCUACUUAAAUUCUACAAUAAAUUAUUUACUAGAUUCUGACCCGCCCUAAGGGCGGGUAUAUUUUUAUUUUAUUUUAUUUUUAAUUUUAAUUUUAUAUGUUUUUGUUGUUUUAAUCAUAUUUGUGUUAAAUGUUACUUUAAUAUAAUUUUUGAUAACUAUAUUACAUAUGUCAAAUUGCAUAACUGUGCAUUUGUGAGAUAUAUACAUCAGAUGUUUUACAUGUAUAUAUAAUAUAAUUAAUAAAUUUAAUAAUUAAAAGAUAUACACAUUAUAAAAUAGUUUUGAAUCUAUCAAUACGUAAGCAUGAAUAUAAUCGAAUAUAGGAGCUACAUAAGGAGCUAAAUAACUGAGAAAUUGAAAAUUUUCUAAAGAUAAAAUUGUAGUUCAAAUAAAAAAAGCAUUAUAAGCAUCUUCAAAGGUAGGAUACAAAACUCCAUUAACAGUUCGUAUAUCUGUGUAGCUGGUUGAUACUUUGUUCUUGUUUAAAAGAAAACUCAGAUAAAACAAUUCGCUUGUGUUGGAGUUAUUUUCAUGGUUAAUCAUUGUUUUCUCUUUGUUCUUACUAUUAACUUCCAUCCAAUCUUGAUAUUGCGAAGUUUGAUUUGCCUUUGUUGAAACAUCACCUAAAUCAUCAGCUUCAUGUGUAGCUUCUAUGUCAUCUUUUUCAUAUUUUUUUCUCUUCAUCUAUAGCAAAUAUGAUUAACAUAAAGUUAUAAAUUAUAAUGGACAAAAACACAUAAGAAACUUUGAAAUCCAAAUCAAUAUUAUUAAUACUUAGAAAAUGUAAUAAUGAUUAAAGUGCACAUGGGUAACUUUCUAUUAUCUACAAAAUAGACACACAUAUCAUAUAUAUAUCACCGUCUUAAAAAAUCAUUUAUAUACAUGAGAUAGGUAGUAAAUGUUUUGUCUAUAAUAUUUAUUACUUUAAAACACAUUUAAGAUAACAUUAUAAGUUAGAGUUAUUAUUUUCAAUGUCUUGAUGAUGUUUGAUAUUCUUUACAGGAUUGUAUUAUUAUGUAUAACAGUUUAAUUCAGAUUGGAGGUAGAAAAACUAUCACCUUGGAAGAUAAUUGAAGAAAAAAAUUUCACUUUCUCGCUAACAAUUUGAAAAUCUGACCUUUGAAUACUGGUAGAUAUUGAUGAUUGAAGACGAAUGAAUUGAAGAGAUUUUCAAUGUUAGGGUAUUAAAUGGUUUUACAAAUAACUGAGAAAAUAGUAGAUUAAUUUAUAGGAGAUGAAGAAAAUAAGUAAAUAUUUAAAUCAAUGUAGCUUAAAACUUGAAUGAGAAAAAUUAGGAAAUUGUUAGUUUAUAUUUAGACUCCAGAAAAAAGGAUAUAGCAAAGAAAACUUCAAAACCAACUAAUUUUUCAUAAUAAUCUGUCCAUAUAAUUUUUUAAUAAAAACAUUUGGGGUAUUUUGUUUUUAUUGUUUUUUUGUCACAGAAAAGGUUGUAGUUUAUAUUUUUACAUGGAAAUUGAUUUGUAUAUUUGUGUUUGGAAAGUUUAAACAAUAGUAAUAGCAUUGUUUAAACUAUAAU
rnacentral:lncRNA from 1 species